CUUCCUUCUGGUGUUUUGUGGUGAGCCCAACAUAAGGGCAAGUUUAGAUAAUAAUCUGAAAGUGAGGACUUCACGUUAGGAAGUCGUGUUCAGCUUUAUCUGUGUUUCAUCGUCAUCAUACUUUAAAAUGCUUCAUUAAGACCGAUGGAUUUAGCCACAAAACUGCCUUGUCUGAUAAUGGAUAUUAUUUAUUUUCAUUUCACCAAUGGAGAGCUAGAGUACUGAAUGUCUUGCCAAGAUCACACACAGGAGGGAUGAAAAUGCCAACUUAAAAUUCAAUAUAGAAGAAGUAGUCACCGCGACGUAAGUCGAUAGCCUCUUUACAAUUUCUGUCAGAACUUCACCAUCCUGCCAGCAGCUUUUUAACUUUUAUUUAAAUACUUGGCAACCCGUGACUGUUUUUUUCCCUCUUUGUUACUCCAAGAUGCCAUUCAUGCUUACUGAGCCUCUUAGAGUAAUUAGGGAAUUUGUUUUGCU